AAACUAACAAGGAUUCCCCUAGUAACGGCGAGUGAAGCGGGAAGAGCUCAAAUUUGAAAUCUGGCGGCAUCCUGUCGUCCGAGUUGUAAUCUAUAGAAGUGUUUUCCGCGUCGGACCAUGUACAAGUCCCUUGGAACAGGGCGUCAUAGAGGGUGAGAAUCCCGUCCUUGACAUGAUCUCCGGUGCUAUGUGAUACACUUUCAACGAGUCGAGUUGUUUGGGAAUGCAGCUCAAAAUGGGUGGUGAAUUCCAUCUAAAGCUAAAUAUUGGCGAGAGACCGAUAGCGAACAAGUACCGUGAGGGAAAGAUGAAAAGCACUUUGGAAAGAGAGUUAAACAGUACGUGAAAUUGUUGAAAGGGAAACGAUUGAAGUCAGUCAUGCUCUUUGGGUUAAGCCUUUCGGGGUGUAUUCCAUUGAGUGGGGUCAACAUCAGUUUUGACCGCUGGAAAAAGGCACGAGGAAGGUAGCACUCUCGGGUGAACUUAUAGCCUCGCGUCAUAUACAGUGGUUGGGACUGAGGAACGCAGCAUGCCUUAUGGGCCGGGAUUCGUCCACGUACAUGCUUAGGAUGGUUGACAUAAUGGGCUUUAAACGACCCGUCUUUGAAACACG
rnacentral:rRNA from 1 species